UACAGAGGUCUCAAGCGUUGUUCGGAUUCAUUGGGCGUAAAGGGUGCGUAGGCGGCGCGGUAAGUCGGGUGUGAAAUCUUGGAGCUUAACUCCGAAACUGCAUUCGAUACUGCCGUGCUUGAGGACUGGAAAGGAGACUGGAAUUCCCGGUGUAGUGGUGAUAUGCGUAGAUAUCGGGAGGAACACCAGUGGCGAAGGCGGCUCUCUGGGCCCUACCUGACGCUGAGACGCGAAAGCGUGGGGAGCGAACCGG
rnacentral:rRNA from 1 species